rnacentral:rRNA from 1 species
GAUGAACGCUGGCGGCGUGCCUAAUACAUGCAAGUCGAGCGAACGGACGAGAAGCUUGCUUCUCUGAUGUUAGCGGCGGACGGGUGAGUAACACGUGGAUAACCUACCUAUAAGACUGGGAUAACUUCGGGAAACCGGAGCUAAUACCGGAUAAUAUUUUGAACCGCAUGGUUCAAAAGUGAAAGACGGUCUUGCUGUCACUUAUGGAUGGAUCCGCGCUGCAUUAGCUAGUUGGUAAGGUAACGGCUUACCAAGGCAACGAUGCAUAGCCGACCUGAGAGGGUGAUCGGCCACACUGGAACUGAGACACGGUCCAGACUCCUACGGGAGACAGCAGUAGGGAAUCUUCCGCAAUGGGCGAAAGCCUGACGGAGCAACGCCGCGUGAGUGAUGAAGGUCUUCGGAUCGUAAAACUCUGUUAUUAGGGAAGAACAUAUGUGUAAGUAACUGUGCACAUCUUGACGGUACCUAAUCAGAAAGCCACGGCUAACUACGUG